rnacentral:rRNA from 1 species
UACGUAGGGGGCAAGCGUUAUCCGGAAUUACUGGGUGUAAAGGGAGAGUAGGCGGCAUGGUAAGUUAGAUGUGAAAGCCCGGGGCUUAACCUCGGGAUUGCAUUUAAAACUAUCAAGCUAGAGUACAGGAGAGGUAAGUGGAAUUCCUAGUGUAGCGGUGAAAUGCGUAGAUAUUAGGAAGAACAUCAGUGGCGAAGGCGACUUACUGGACUGAAACUGACGCUGAGGCUCGAAAGCGUGGGGAGCGAAC